rnacentral:rRNA from 1 species
CUACGGGCUGCAGCAGUGGGGAAUAUUGGACAAUGGGGGAAACCCUGAUCCAGCAAUGCCGCGUGUGUGAAGAAGGCCUGCGGGUUGUAAAGCACUUUCGGUUGGGAGGACUGCUUCUAGCACUAAUAUUGUUGGAAGUUGACGUUACCUUCAGAAGAAGCACCGGCUAAGUCCGUGCCAGGCAGCCGCGGUAAUACGGAGGGUGCAAGCGUUAAUCGGAAUUACUGGGCGUAAAGCGCGCGUAGGCGGCUAGAUCAGUCGGGUGUGAAAGCCCCGGGCUUAACCUGGGAACUGCAUCCGAUACUGUCUAGCUUGAGUACAGGAGAGGAGAGUGGAAUUCCACAUGUAGCGGUGAAAUGCGUAGAUAUGUGGAGGAACACCAAUGGCGAAGGCAGCUCUCUGGCCUGAUACUGACGCUGAGGUGCGAUAGCGUGGGGAGCAAACAGGAUUAGAUACCCGUGUAGUC